rnacentral:antisense_RNA from 1 species
AUUUGAUGAAUAUAUAUAAUGAGUUUGUUUAAAAUGUGGU